rnacentral:rRNA from 1 species
AGCGAACGUUAGCGGCAGGCCUAACACAUGCAAGUCGAGCGAGAAAGGGGCUUCGGCCCUGAGUAGAGCGGCGGACGGGUGCGUAACACGUGGAUAAUCUGCCCUUCGGCGGGGGAGUAACAGUCCGAAAGGAUUGCUAAUACCGCAUACGACAGCGGGGUCUAUGACUUUGCUGAGGAAAGGGGGCGGCCCGCGAAGGGGCGUCUCACCGGAGGAUGAGUCCGCGGCCCAUCAGCAGUUGGCGGGGUAAUGGCCCACCAAGGCAGAGACGGGUAGCUGGUCUGAGAGGAUGAUCAGCCACAC